rnacentral:lncRNA from 1 species
GUCCCCACACAUCAGUCAAAAUGGCCUUCGCUCUGUCCUUCUCCCGCAAGGCUCUGCAGGUGUGCAAGCUAGGGUCGCACAUCGCUUAGCGAAACAACUCACGUCACCUUUGUUGGGCUCAUGGGCCCUCGUGGAGCUUCGGGAGCUAACCUGCUGGCGAUGGCGUGUCUAUGUGCAGGUGUCCGCCAAGGCCACCGGCAAGAAGGGCACCGGCAAGACCGUGAGUGUUCCGGCAUGCGCGGGGCACGGGUUCGCGCUGGGCUUCAGUCUCAUGGAUCCCCUUGCGGGCUUGGGCUCAGUGGCAGUGUUCUAGUCAGCAGCGCCGCGGGGAUUCUUGAGUUAUUGCCACCGUUUGCGCCUGUGGCUUCGCACAUGGCAACCCGCUUAAGCAACCCUUCAACGCCUUAUGCGGAUCUUCACUUGCUGGACUCUAGGCAUGUUCUAGGUACAUCAUAUAUGCCAUGCAUUGACUACCAUAACUAAAUGCGCGCCCUCCUUCCUCUUUGCUUGCUCUUCAGGCUGCCAAGCAGGCCCCCGCCAGCUCCGGCAUUGAGUUCUACGGCCCCAACCGCGCCAAGUGGCUGGGUGAGUGCUGGGAUGGCGUAUGGGAUAGUGGAUCUGUGUAGCGACAGGCUCGCGACGGGACUUGUCGGCACAUGGUAGGUAUCCGUCGCUGAUCCUAUCGACGCUCGCGCUCGCAUACAUGAGCCAGUUGGCUUUGAGCAGCCAGCCUUGUUCCUGCCAGAAACCCAGCGCCCAUGUUGAAGCAUGCAUGCUGUCCAACACGUCGGCCUGACCUUGUCACCACCCCCCUUGUAGGCCCCUACUCCGAGAAUGCCACCCCCGCCUACCUGACUGGCGAGUUCCCCGGCGACUACGGCUGGGACACCGCCGGUCUGUCGGCUGACCCGGAGACCUUCAAGCGCUACCGCGAGCUGGAGCUGAUCCACGCCCGCUGGGCUAUGCUGGGCGCUCUGGGCUGCAUCACCCCCGAGCUGCUGGCCAAGAGCGGCACCCAGUUCGGCGAGGCUGUCUGGUUCAAGGCCGGCGCCCAGAUCUUCUCUGAGGGCGGCCUGGACUACCUGGGCAACCCCUCCCUGGUGCACGCCCAGAACAUCGUCGCCACCCUGGCCGUUCAGGUGAGGGGCUAUGGCAGGCGGAUGUGUGAAAGCCGGGUAUGCGAAGAAAGCUAUAUGCGCGAUGCUGUGGGAAGGGUGCAUGAUCUUGGUUGUGCACACAGCGCUCCAGCGUUGCCAGCGGGAGCCACCCAGCCAAAAGCACCGGCGCUACACGUCCUUGUACUCCCUACUUUCACCGCACUAACCGCACCCCUCUGCUUGCCCUGCUCCAUAGGUUAUCCUGAUGGGCCUGGUGGAGGGCUACCGUGUCAACGGCGGCCCCGCCGGCGAGGGCCUGGACCCCCUGUACCCCGGCGAGUCGUUCGACCCCCUGGGCCUGGCUGACGACCCCGACACCUUCGCUGAGCUGAAGGUGAAGGAGAUCAAGAACGGCCGCCUGGCCAUGUUCUCCAUGUUCGGCUUCUUCGUCCAGGCCAUCGUGACCGGCAAGGGCCCCAUCCAGAACCUGGACGACCACCUGUCCAACCCCACCGUGAACAACGCGUUCGCCUUCGCCACCAAGUUCACCCCCUCCGCGUAAAUUCUGUUCUCAUGACUUCAAUCAGUCAGUGAGCGGCAUUUGUUGCGUCUUUUUGAAAGCGUAAGAGCGGACGAAGUGUAUGAGGAGCAAGCGAGAUCGCGUCGCGUCGUGAUGGAGUUGAUGGUGUGAUGCAGGCGGAUGGAGGCGGAGAAUGAUGUGUGCCGUGUGUCGUUUACCUAGAGAAGACAAUUUUUAAACCGCAGCGUUUGUGGUUUACGCGGUCCCGUGGUGCGCGCAAAUGCGUAUGCCCCCCGUGUAAU